CCAGAGUGACGACCAUGACGGGGAUGUUGAGUCUCUGUCUGGUGCUCUGAGAGAGUCGCAAGAAGCCGUACUCCAAGGAAUACUCCACCAUAUACUCCUCCUGAGGCCACACUGAGAGAGACAGACAGGUUCAUACAGAGAGACAGACAGGUUCAUACACAGAGAGACAGACAGGUUCAUAUACAAAGAGACAGACAGGUUCAUACACAGAGAGACAGACAGGUUCAUAUACAGAGAGACAGACAGGUUCAUAUACAGAGAGACAGACAGGUUCAUACACAGAGAGACAGACAGGUUCAUAUACAGAGAGACAGACAGGUUCAUACAUAGAGAGACAGACAGGUUCAUAC